rnacentral:rRNA from 1 species
UACAGAGACUGCAAGCGUUAUUCGGAUUCACUGGGCGUAAAGGGUGCGCAGGUGGGUUGGCAAGUUCGAUGUGAAAGCCCGGGGCUUAACCCGGGAAUGGCAUUGGAUACUGUUGAUCUGGAGGGUCGGAGGGGGGACUGGAAUUCUUGGUGUAGCAGUGAAAUGCGUAGAUAUCAAGAGGAACACCAGUGGCGAAGGCGAGUCCCUGGACGAUACCUGACACUGAGGCACGAAAGCCAAGGGAGCAAACAGG